GGGCAGGGGGGAAGGUUGCCCCUUGAUAGCAGCUGCCCUCUGUGAGGUUUGGGUUGCUGGGGGAGGGGUAGGGAGGGGCAAUUUCCCCCCCUCCCAGCUGCUGUUCCUCUUCAUCUGUCUUAGGUGAGCAUAAGCGCUUUGACGGCAGGAACUUUUUCAUUUUGUCUUUGUGACUUGCACAUAGUAGGUGCCUGUUGAAUUGAAUUAAUUUCUUUUGGUCUGUUUACUCAUCUAUAAAAUGAAGGUGUCCACUUUCUCCAGGUCCUUCCAGCUUUGACAUUCCAUGACUUGCCCAUAUUGGUACCCAAGAGAAGGACUGGUAAAAAUGUUCAUGAGUCUGAUCAGAUCAUGGAACUUUCUGGGUCAGGGACCUGGCCUGGCUUAGCCUGAUCCGGCCUACUUAAUGACUCAAGCCUGUCUCUUUCCCCAUGUAGGCCCCCUUCGCAGUGAGAAUGGGAAAAGUGGCCAUUGACAAAGGAAUGGAGGUGGACAUCGCAUCUGGAAUGGCCAUUGAAGGAAUGUGUUAUGCCCAGAACAUCCCAACCCGGGACAGGCUGGAGGGCAUGGCAGCCUUCCGGGAGAAGCGGCCACCCCGCUUUGUUGGCGAGUGACUCUGAUGGUGUUGUUGUGGGGGAGGGGGCUGUCCCCCUCCCUGCAGCUUUGGCUCCCGCAGGCAGGAGCACCUACUACAAGUCAGGUCUUAGAAGCACGUCCUCUGUUCUUCCAUAAAGUCCUUCACCUUGCCUCCCUUCCCAACCUGACCUCUCCCGCCAUCCCAGACUUCGCACGCCGUACUGCCCUCCAUGCACGCUAUCAUCCUGCUGUUUCUCAGAGACAAUGCUCAGUGCCCGGCUUCUGCCAGUGCCUCUGCCUGUGCUGUCCGCCACGUCUAGAACACUCCCUCCUUGUCUCCAAGUUCUGGCUUCCUUCCAGUCCCAGCUAAAGUCCAUUCUCAGGCCUGCUCAGACUUCGUGUCUUUCCUCUGAGAUUCUCCAGUUUACCCGGUCCAGAGCUGGUUUGUAUCUAGGUGUUUGCAUCUUGUUUCCCCUUCCCCAGGAGAAUCUGUGAGCUGCUAGAGGGCAGACACCAGUGUUAUUGCCUUUCUUUGUAUCCCCAGGGCUUAGCACAAUGCCUGACACAUAGUAGGCACUUCACAAAUGCUCAUAGACUCCAUUAAACCAAACCAAAAGACAAAAAAAGACACAGCUAAAUUAGCUAAAUUAGCUAAAUUAAAUUAGCUAAAGCGAAGCGUGGCAGUCAAGUUGUCUGUGGAGAAGAGUAAGAAGACAGCAAAGAUCUAGGCUCCUUUCUCCCUUGGCCCUGUGGACCAGGUCCCUGGAAUUCUAUGACCUCAUAGACUACUUGGCCACUCCUAGAUCCCUCCCAUAGGCUUGCUGUAUGUAAGGUCCAUCUUGUCUCCAUUAAGGUGCUUAGAUUCUUAUAAUCCAGCCAAUGGCUCACUAACAUUCAGACUUCUUAAGAGUCUGCCCAAUAUGAACGAUGUCUCAGUUUGGAAACUGGAAAUAUUAAAGUCAACAUGUCCAGAAUAAUAGUAGCUAACAUAUGUAGAACGUGUAUAUGUGUGUGUGUGUGUCUAAGCACUUUCCAAAUACUAUCUCACUAGAGUCUCACAACAACCCUGACAGGUAGGUACUAUUAUUAUCCUUAUUUUACAGCUGAGGAAACUGAGGCAGACAAAGGUUAAGUGACUUGCCCAAGGUCACCCAGCUAGGAAGUAUCUGAGUCCAAAUUUUACCUUCUUGACUCCAGGCCCUGUGCUCUAUCCACCUCAUCACAUAGCUGCCUAAAACUGAACUCAUUCUUGCCCUCCAAAAUGCUCUCUUCUGAACUGAAUUAUUCUUGAGGGUGCUGUCAUCCUCCUAGUCACCCAGGCUCACAACCCGUCACUCUGAUGCCUUACUUGCAUUUACACUCUGUUAACACAUCCAGUCUGUUGCCAAAUCCUGGCAUUCCAACUUCCUCUCUUGUAUACAUACCCCCAUCUCUCUCUGACACUGUCACUGCCCCCACCCCAUCACCUCAAGCCUGGCCUAGUGUGAUUACUGCUGGGGGUGGGGGGUGCCCGUCUGCGGUGUCUCCCCACUCCAAUCCAUCCACUUAGCUGCCAAACUUCACCUCCAAGGGCCCCUUACGAUCUCUCGAAUCAAACAGGAAGUUGUGUUUGGCUGGUAAAGCCCUCCAUAGCUUGGUCUCCCCAAAUCCGGUUAUGUGGGCCUUCUUAUUCCUCCUCCAUCACGUGGCUCCACCUGGCAUCCUCUGGGCUUUUGUCCCUGGCUGUCCCUCCCACACACCAGGAAAGCUUCCCGCCUCCCUUCACAGCUCAGCUCGGGUACCACCUUCGGCAGGUCUUUCCCAGGCUCUCUUCUUCCAAUCCAAUACUUUCUCUUCAGAGAUUACCUUCCAUUUAUGCUGUACAUAUCUUCUAAAAAAAUUACUUUUUACAUUACCAUGAUUACCCCCAGUAUCCCUCCCCUCUCUUCCUCCUAGAGAAUCAUCCCAUGUAAUAGUUUUGUUUUUUUUUAAAAGGGAAAAAAAUAAGCACAUCAGACCAGUACAUGAAAAUACAUGCUCCAAACUCAGACACUAGCUGUGUGACCCUGGGCAAGUCACUUAACCCCCAUCCCCUGUGUAGCAUGCCAAAUGUGGGGGCCUCCCACCUCUGUAGAAAAUGGGAGAGGGACAUCUCAUUUCUUUUUCCGUGAUUCUCCAACAUUCACUUUUGGUCGUUUGUUCUCUCCAUGUAGCGUUGUAGUCAUUGUGGACAGCUUUUUUGGUUCUGCUAACUUAGCUGCCUCAGUUUAUGUAGAUCUGUCCACAUUUCUCAGUAACUAUCACAUUCAACAUUUCUUAAAGUCUGGUAAAAUUGACAAUUAAAUGAGUCCAAAUCCAGCCUGACACCCUGAGCAAGUCACUCUGAACCUCUGACUCAGUUUCCCUAAAUGGAAAAUAAUUUUGUCUACAGCAACCCUGUGAGGAUCACGUAGGAUCUUUGUGAACCACAGUGCUUUGCACAUAGUAGGCACUUAAUAAAUGUUUGUUCUUUUCCCA
rnacentral:lncRNA from 1 species